CCGCAUUCUCAGGGCAGGGUGAAAUUCCCUACUGGCGGUCAAGCCCGCGAGCGUUUGUUAUAAGGCAAAGUCAGCAGAUUUGGUGAAAUUCCAAAGCCAACAGUUACAGUCUGGAUGAAAGAGAGUAAAC
rnacentral:ncRNA from 18 species